CAACCAAAGCUAGUAAUUAGCUUAGCGAUUAGCGUUAGCAAUCUUUUUAGGACAUUAAUUCAAUGAUACAAUAUGCACCAAAGUACGCUGGAAACAUUAGGACAACAUUCUAAUAUUCCUGAUUGCUUUUUACGAAAGUAUCUGAACUUAAACAAGAGAAAAUGGCUGCCAUAGAUCCUGGCUCUGAGGAGCGGCAUGUAAGGUCAGACAGUGAGACGCAUCUUCAUCUCUGAGCAAUGCUUCAUGGACGAUAUAGCACAUUUGCAACACAGAAGAAAAUAGGAUGGAGGCAGAAAAUAGAAUACAGCGGAUGCUUGGUACUGCGGAUCUGCACAGAGGCUAUUUCUGGUGCCGUGUGACACUGAUGAUGUUGACAGCAAUCGCCUUCCCACAUCACAGCCACCGCAAAGGAGAAAGAUUGCAGCUGCUGAAUUGUCCUUAGUCUGCUGUGGAUGAAACAUAUUGAUGACAUAUUGCAUCAGAUGCCUUGCUCAUGGGAGAUGAGAGCUUUUCUAUUGGCAGAACACUCACCUUCAUAAACAAGGAGUCAACACUUGAGGUGACUUGCAGAAGAUGAAGAGAAAUCAUUUAGAGGAAGAUAAGUGUGUCGGAAGAUAAUGGCUUCACAGGUUGAACAUGGUGAAGAAACACUGGCUCCUGCGACUGAAGCUGAUGAAACACAGCAACAACCUGAGAAAUCCAGGCAUCUCGGUCUUGGUGACAGCAUUUCACAUUGAGGUGGCAUGUCUCGGAAAACAAAACUAAGACGGCUAAAUAUUUCCGAUCACUUACAUGGCCUACAGUUCUCACACCACACCUCUUUAUUGGUCCAAGACAGCAUCAGGAUGACUGUGUCCAGAUGACCAGAUCACCACUGGACAGGCAGAGGAGGAGACACUGGCUCCUUCUGCCUAACCUGUAUGUUUUGUUUGGUUUGUGUCUUGCUUCACUCUGUCUGUUUGGCAGGUACACAUGCAGACAGAUCAACUAAAUAUGACAGGAUCCCUGCUCAAGCACACAGCUCAAUCUCUGUUCUGUGCCUGUAGUGUGCAGCUGCCUUCGGGAAGUCCUGUCAGCGCUUACCAUUUGGCCUUGAACCUGUGCUAAACUAUUGAGUUCAUCAUGCAUAAAACAUUAAAGAUGU